GAUGAACGCUAGCGGCAGGCUUAACACAUGCAAGUCGAGGGGCAGCGCGGGAUAGCAAUAUCCUGGCGGCGACCGGCGGAAGGGUGCGUAACGCGUGAGCGACAUGCCCGUUGCCCGGGGACAACCGGUGGAAACGCCGACUAAUCCCCGAUGGGAUAUUGUGCCGCAUGGCACGAUAUUGAAAGUUACGGCGGCGACGGAUUGGCUCGCGUCCGAUUAGCUUGUUGGCGGGGUAACGGCCCACCAAGGCUGCGAUCGGUAGGGGUUCUGAGAGGAAGGCCCCCCACAAUGGGACUGAGCCACGGCCCAUACUCCUACGGGAGGCAGCAGUGAGGAAUAUUGGUCAAUGGGCGGAAGCCUGAACCAGCCAUGCCGCGUGCGGGAAGGAGGCCCUAUGGGCUGUGAACCGCUUUUGCCUGGGGGCAAUAAGGGCGUCGCGCACGUCCGAUGAGAGUACCAGGCGAAUAAGCAUCGGCUAACUCCGUG
rnacentral:rRNA from 1 species